rnacentral:rRNA from 1 species
CGAAGUCGGAAUUGCUAGUAAUCGUAGGUCAGCAUACUACGGUGAAUACGUUCCCGGGCCUUGUACACACCGCCCGUCAAACCAUGAGAGUUGGCAACACCCGAAGUCGGUAGUCUAACCGCAAGGAGGACGCCGCCGAAGGUGGGGUUNAUGAUUAGGGUUAAGUCGUAACAAGGUAUC